rnacentral:misc_RNA from 1 species
UCCGGUUCAUCACCAGCAGUCUCCUUAGAGUCCCCACCAUUACGUGAUGGCAACUAAGGAUAAGGGUUGCGCUCGUUACGGGACUUAACCCAACAUCUCACAACACGAGCUGACGACAGCCAUGCAGCACCUGUCUCUAGGUUCCUUGCGGCACUCCAGCAUCUCUGCCAGAUUCCUAGGAUGUCAAGGGUAGGUAAGGUUCUUCGCGUUGCAUCGAAUUAAACCACAUGCUCCACCGCUUGUGCGGGCCCCCGUCAAUUCCUUUGAGUUUUAACCUUGCGGUCGUACUCCCCAGGCGGAGAACUUAUCGCGUUAGCUUCGAUACUAGGGAGUCAAGCUCCCUAACAUCUAGUUCUCAUCGUUUACAGCGUGGACUAC